rnacentral:rRNA from 1 species
AUUGAACGCUGGCGGCAUGCCUUACACAUGCAAGUCGAACGGCAGCACGGGGCAACCUGGUGGCGAGUGGCGAACGGGUGAGUAAUGCAUCGGAACGUACCUUUCAGUGGGGGAUAACGUAGCGAAAGUUACGCUAAUACCGCAUAUUCUGUGAGCAGGAAAGCAGGGGAUCGCAAGACCUUGCGCUGAUUGAGCGGCCGAUGUCAGAUUAGCUAGUUGGUGAGGUAAAGGCUCACCAAGGCGACGAUCUGUAGCGGGUCUGAGAGGAUGAUCCGCCAGACUGGAGAUGAGACACGGUCCAGACUCCUACGGGAGGCAGCAGUGGGGAAUUUUGGACAAUGGGGGCAACCCUGAUCCAGCCAUGCCGCGUGAGUGAAGAAGGCCUUCGGGUUGUAAAGCUCUUUCGGCCGGGAAGAAAUCGCACGGGCUAAUACCCUGUGUGGAUGACGGUACCGGAAUAAGAAGCACCGGCUAACUACGUGCCAGCCGCCGCCGUAAGAC